GUGUCCGGUAUAGAAAAACCGGAGGUUCAUACAGGAUGGUCGGGCCGCCAUCU
rnacentral:ncRNA from 1 species